GAUGAACGCUGGCGGCGUGCUUAACACAUGCAAGUCGAACGAGAAAUGGAGACGGAAACCUUCGGGCGGAAGGCUUCAUUUCGAGUGGCGGACGGGUGAGUAACGCGUGGGUAACCUGCCUCAUACAGGGGGAUAACAGUUGGAAACGACUGUUAAUACUGCAUAAGACCACAGCACCGCAUGGUGCGGGGGUAAAAACUCCGGUGGUAUGAGAUGGACCCGCGUUCGAUUAGCCAGUUGGCGGGGUAACGGCCCACCAAAGCGACGAUCGAUAGCCGAGCUGAGAGGCUGACCGGCCACAUUGGGACUGAGACACGGCCCAAACUCCUACGGGAGGCAGCAGUGGGGAAUAUUGCACAAUGGGGGAAACCCUGAUGCAGCGACGCCGCGUGAGUGAAGAAGUACUUCGGUAUGUAAAGCUCUAUCAGCAGGGAAGAAAAUGACGGUACCUGAGUAAGAAGCCCCGGCUAACUACGUG
rnacentral:rRNA from 1 species